rnacentral:rRNA from 1 species
GAUGAACGCUGGCGGCGUGCCUAAUACAUGCAAGUCGAGCGAAUGGAUUAAGAGCUUGCUCUUAUGAAGUUAGCGGCGGACGGGUGAGUAACACGUGGGUAACCUGCCCAUAAGACUAGGAUAACUCCGGGAAACCGGGGCUAAUACCGGAUAACAUUUUGAACCGCAUGGUUCGAAAUUGAAAGGCGGCUUCGGCUGUCACUUAUGGAUGGACCCGCGUCGCAUUAGCUAGUUGGUGAGGUAACGGCUCACCAAGGCAACGAUGCGCAGCCGACCUGAGAGGGUGAUCGGCCACACUGGGUCUGAGACACGGCCCAGACUCCUACGGGAGGCAGCAGUAGGGAAUCUUCCGCAAUGGACGAAAGUCUGACGGAGCAACGCCGCGUGAGUGAUGAAGGCUUUCGGGUCGUAAAACUCUGUUGCUAGGGAAGAACAAGUGCUAGUUGAAUAAGCUGGCACCUUAACGGUACCUAACCAGAAAGCCACGGCUAACUACGUGCCAGCAGCCGCAGUAA